rnacentral:pre_miRNA from 1 species
AUGGAGAAUAAGGAGCUCUCUCCAGUCCAGUCCGAGGCAGUCGAUAACUAAAAAUACAGCUGAUGACUCGUUGAUUCUUAAGCACGUCGUAAACAAGAUGGAGUUUUGGAAAUUUGACGUGUUUGAGAUUCAACGAUGCAUGAGCUGUGUUUAGCUAUCGCUGUCACGUCUUGGACUGAAGGGAGCUCCCUAUUAUAUCCAC